rnacentral:rRNA from 1 species
AGGGUUUGAUCCUGGCUCAGAAGGAACGCUAGCUAUAUGCUUAACACAUGUAAGUCGAACGUUGUUUUCAGGGAGCUAGGCAGAAAGAAAAGAGGCUCUGCGUGUCAGGUAGCUUGUCUUGCCCAGGAGGUGAGAAGAGUUGAGAACAAAGUGGCGAACGGGUGCAUAACGCGUGGGAAUCUGUCGAACAGUUCGGGCCAAAUCCUGAAGAAAGCUAAAACGCACUGUUUGAUGAGCCUGCGUAGUAUUAGGUAGUUGGUCAGGUGAAGGCUGCCCAAGCAAAUGAUGCUUAGCUAGUCUUUUCGGAUGAUCAGCCACACCGGGACUGAGACACGGCCCAGACUCCCACGGGGGGCAGCAGUGGGGAAUCUUGGACAAUGGGCGAAAGCCCGAUCCAGUAAUAUUGCGUGAGUGAAGAAGGGUAAUGUCGCUUGUAAAGCUCUUUCGUUGAGUGCGCGAUCAUAACAUAACUCGAGGAAGAAGCCCUGGCUAACUCCGUGCCAACAGCCGCAGUAAGACGGGGGGCAAGUGUUCUUCGGAAUGACUGGGCGUAAAGGGCGCGUAGGCGGUGAAUCGGGUUGGAAGUGAAAGUCGUCAAAAACUGGCGGAAUGCUCUCAAAACCAAUGAACUUGGGUGAGAAAGAGGAGAGUGGAAUUUCGUGUGUAGGGGUGAAAUCCGGAGAUAUACGAAGGAAUGCCAAAAGCGAAGGCAGCUCUCUGGGUUCCUACCGAACGCUGAGGUGCGAAAGCAUGGGGAGCGAACAGGAUUAGAUACCCUGCUAGUCCAUGCCGUAAACGAUGAGUGUUCGCCCUUGGUCUACACGGAUCAGGGGCCCAGCUAAAGCGUGAAACACUCUGCUUGGGGAGUGCGGCUGCUAGGCUGAAACUCAAAGGAAUUGACGGGUGCCUGCACAAGCGGUGAAGCAUGUGGUUUAAUUCGAUACAACGCGCAAAACCUUACCAGCCCUUGACAUAUGAAUAAUAAAACCUGUCCUUAACGGGAUGGUACAGACUUUCAUACAGGUGCUGCAUGGCUGUCGUGAGCUCGUGUCAUGAGAUGUUUGGUCAAGUCCUAUAACGAGCGAAACCCUCGUUUUGUGUUGCUGAGACAUGCCCUUAAGGAGAAAGUCUUUGCAACCGAAGUGAGCUAAGGAGCCGAGUGACGUGCCAGCGCUCUUAAUUGAGUGCCAGCACGUAACUGUGCUGUCAGUAAGAAGGGAGCCGGUGCCGUUCGAAGUACGCCAUGUUUGUGCACGUUUGAAGAACUCAGCCUGAAGGCGAGCCGCCCGGUGGUGUGGUACGUAGUGGGUUUAGUACGCUCUACCAAAAUGGCUCCAAAAGAAAGAAAAAGGUGUGUGCCGCACUCGCGAGGGACUGCCAGUGAGAUAUUGGAGGAGGGUGGGGAUGACGUCAAGUACGCAUGGCCCUUAUGGGCUAGGCCACACACGUGCUACAAUGGCAAUUACAAUGGGAAGCAAGGCUGUAAGGCGGAGCGAAUCCGAAAAGAUUGACUCAGUUCGGAUUGUUCCCUGCAACUCGAGAACAUGAAGUUGGAAUCACUAGUAAUCGCGGAUCAGCAUGCCGCGGUGAAUAUGUGCCCGGGCCCUGUACACACCGCCCGUCACACCAUGGGAAUUGGUUUCGCCAGAAGCAUCAGACCAACGAUCACCCAUGACUUCUGUGCACCAAACGUGCCACAAAGGCUUUUGGUAGUCUUAUUGGCGCAUACCACGGUGGGGUUUUCGACUGGGGUGAAGUUGUAACAAGGUAGCCAUAGGGAACCUGUGGCUG